rnacentral:tRNA from 1 species
UCAGCUCUAACAUCCUCUUCAGAAUCGGUAGAGCGUGUGGCUCUUAACCUCAAGGUUGCGGGUUCGAGUCCCGCCUUGUGAG